UGUAACUGUCUUUUUUAAAAAAAGGAAUCUUGCAGUGAAGAUCAUUCCCGGGCAGUGGUCAGAAAAAAAGAGCUUUGACUUGAAGGGUUUUCCAAGCCAAGACUAUGGAGUUGACUGUGGGAUCUUCAUGCUGAUGUCUGCUCUGUACGUGGCACUGGAUGCUUCAUUUGACUAUACUAUAUCAGACAUGCCCUACUUGCGUAAAUGGUGGUGCUUGCUGUUGAUGGAGAACUUUGAUCCCAGGAGCUCUGGCAAGCUAUUUGCACACUGGAGAGAGGAAGCCAAAGCUGUGCUUGAAGGACAACACGUGCCCAUUUUCAGACUGAAAAAGCGCAAGUUCCA